CACAAGCAGUGGAGUAUGUGGUUUAAUUCGACGCAACGCGAAGAACCUUACCAAGUCUUGACAUCCCUUGACGAACAUAGAAAUAUGUUUUCUCUUCGGAGCAAGGAGACAGGUGGUGCAUGGUUGUCGUCAGCUCGUGUCGUGAGAUGUUGGGUUAAGUCCCGCAACGAGCGCAACCCUUACUGUCAGUACUACGCAAGAG
rnacentral:rRNA from 1 species